rnacentral:lncRNA from 1 species
UUUGAUUGAGUUUUUUUUUUCUUCUUCUUUUAGAUUACCGAUUCAAUUUAGAAAAUAGAAUUCGAACAGGAUACAUCACAAUUUCAUCUGCUAUAAUCCAAAGUGUGGUCACAUGUCAAUGUUUGUCUUAUUUUGUCAUUCGUUCAAUAUGUUUGCUUUCAAGCAAUAUGUUGUACAAAGAAUCACUCCCUCGGAAAGAAGGGAAUAAAGCGUGUUGAUUGUCGUUUUCUUCCCCUCUUGCAAAAAAGAAUCCUAUGACAAGAUAACACGAUGUUUGAAUAGAUUAUAACAUGAACAAAAGGUCGACGCUUUGAACGAUCUUGCCCAAUUUCCCUCCAACAAAUGUGAUCUUCUUUGUAGGACCACCUCCUGCAGUGGAUAUCCUUCUUGUGUCGGUUUUGAAUGUUCAUGUGGGACCACCAUCUACAAUGGCCCUCCUUCUUCUGCCAAUUCGAUUAUCACGGUGGCUAAUUCAUCAUCUUGUCCACAUGAAUACGAGGAUGCAUCAUUGCUAGAAGGCAUACUUUUGAGUGAGUUUAAGCAUUAGGGACUCAUUCCUUCUAUUUUUAGUUUUGUUGAAUUUUCGAUAGUCAUACUUGUGACUAUCGUUUUGGUUAAUCU